rnacentral:lncRNA from 1 species
AGGCAUAUAUCAAGUACAACUGGAGAGUAGUGUGUCGAAUUGUGUUUUAGUGUUCAGGAUGUGAUUAAUAACAGGUGAAAUAUUGUAAAUGAAUGGCUAUGUGUGGUGGUAGAGAAUGGAAAAUUUUUCGUUUUGUAAAAGAAAAAGAAACCAAGAAAGUUUUUUCGAGAACAUGUGGACGAUUGGCAUGCAUUCAGUAGAUGCGUUGUUUUAUGUGUUCAAUAACUAAAGCCUGCAAAC